GACGAACGCUGGCGGCGUGCCUAACACAUGCAAGUCAACUUGACUGAAGGAGCAAUCUGACAGUAGAGUGGCGCAAGGGUGCGUAACGCGUAAGUAACUUGCCCCAAGGUAAGGAAUAACGUCGAGAAAUCGGCGCUAAUACCUCAUAAUGCAGCGGAUCCGCAUGGAUAUGUUGUUAAAGGUUUACCGCCUUGGGAUAGGCUUGCGUCUGAUUAGUUAGUUGGUGUGGUAACGGCACACCAAGGCUACGAUCAGUAACUGGUCUGAGAGGAUGAUCAGUCACACUGGAACUGAGACACGGUCCAGACUCCUACGGGAGGCAGCAGUGAGGAAUAUUGGGCAAUGCUCGAAAGAGUGACCCAGCAACGCCGCGUGGAGGAUGAAGGUAUUCUAUAUCGUAAACUCCUGUGAGAGCAGACGAAAGACAGAUUAUUAAUCUGGAUGACUGUAUGCUCAGAGG
rnacentral:rRNA from 1 species